UCACAAGUUCAUAGACCAAAAAUGAGUACAUAACAUGCACAUUUAAACUAAGUUAUACUUGAGACAUCUACAUGAGUACAUUCAAUUCAAAGGUCAUCUUCCUCAAUUUCUUCCAUGUGAUCUUCCAAAUCUGCAACUUCAUUUUCAAAGAGGACUCCUUUUAGUUGAGGUCCGUUAAUUGACAGUUCAACUUAAUCAUUGAUACUUUCAUAAAAUGAUCUCCACCUAAAACAAUAUCAAAUGAAUUUAGAAGAUUGUGAAAGAAACUUAUCAGAUUAAAAGAAUUACUCAAGAUGUAUCAAAAGACUUGCCAAAAUCCCAAUAUUUGCUUCGACCACUUGUUUUUUUUUUAUUUUCUUUGAGAGACCAAGCGAAGAUUUAGUGUGCAUAGACACUAAAUCUUCGGCUCUUGAAGUAGCCAACUUGUUUCUCUUGAUGCUAUGUAUUAAUGAAAAAGUGCUCCAAUUCCUUUCGCAACAAGAUAAAGAUGCCGGUUGGGAAAUCAAUUUGUAAACUAAACUUUGUAAAAGUGGAGCAUUUACACCAUAGUUAGCCCACCAAGAUAGGGGCUCCUCAUAUCCCAUAGCAUUAAUCACAUUAAAUUCACUAAAGUGACCAAUCCCACUACAACGUGCCUUGUACUCCAAAGAAGCUUGCUUUAAAUCAUUUGGAUCUUUGAAAAUAUUUGAUUCUAUUCAAGGAAAUCUCUUUAUCUUCAUUAGGAGAAAGUCUUUUUAUCCUUUUGCUUUCACCUUAAAGCAAUUCAUGGAAUUAUUUGGGAAUCUAGAAUGUGCCAAAAAAUAAAUGAAGUAUUACACUUUUUCCACCUAGCCACAAAAAUUUCUUGUAUUUUAUCCAAAAAAAAUCAAUUGNNNNNNNNNNNNNNNNNUCCCUACAUGCUCAAAUACAAUCACUUUCACCUUUUCAAUCAUUGUAUUCCACAUGUCAUAGAUAAGGUGCAAUUGUGGACAAUCAAAGUUGGCUUUUCUAAACAUGGAUACAAUUGUUUCGAACAAUUUAAAAAAUAUUCAACUCUAUCCCACCAUUCAUCAACCAUCAUAAGAGAUUUUAUUCCACACACCUUUGCUUCAAGUAGUUUAUCUCCCUUGUAAUUUUUCCAUUCGUCAUUCAUUACCAUUUUCUCAAUUGACCAUUUUCUCAAUAAUGGUUUUACUUUGUGAAUACGAGAAGUCAUGACAAUAUGGAAAGCAAACCUUGUUUCAACAACUUUUUACAAAGUUCAGAGUAUUUUGGGAAAAUGGCAUGCGCCAUAUCAGGAUUCACCAUAAAAUUCUUUAAGCUACUCACAUCAAUGAUCAAUGUUAGUGUCCAUUUACUACUUGAGAAGUGAGCUAACUUUUUGGAAGGUUGGCAUAUACUUUUCAAAGCAAGAUUUAAACAAUGAAUGACAAAUGAUGUCCAAAAUAUUUACAAAAGAGUUUGUUCAACAAUUGAGCCAACGAGCUUCAUAUUUCUUACAUUAUCAGUGAAACUUAAACAACAAUUUUUGGAUCAACAUCUUCUAUGGCUUUAAUGAACAACUUGUCAAUAUACUCACCAUCCUUGACAAUUCCACUUGAAUUAAUUAAUUUCUAGAAUAUUGGUCCACCACUAGAUGCCCCUGUUAUAUUUUUCAAUAGUCGUCUUUUAAUGUCAAACCAUCCGGCCGAACAAAUCGACAAUCCUUUUCAUUUCCAUGUAUCACUAAUAAGUUGUGUUUUUCUAUCUAUAUUAGUCUUUUCUUGAGCUAAAAGAGUUCUUAACCUAUUAUAAGUUGGCGGAACAUAACUAGGUAUAACAUUCGCUGCCAAAAACUCUGAAUAUUUUUUAAGUAAGGAGAAGUUGCAAGGUUGAAUAAUAAACUUGAACAUCUGAGCUGCGAACUUGUUGGCAAUUUUUCUGUUACAAAUGCUAAAAGAUUUCUCCAGUUCUCCAGUCUUUUUGAUUAUAAUUGACUUUUGAGUGUUCUUUUUCUUGAGAUGGUGCAGGUCUCAUUAAAUGAAAUGUGUGCCUCCUUCCUUUUGGUCAUUUUAAUCUGAAAAUAUUUCUAAGCUUUAAUAUAAAUAUGCUUAUGUUGUUUUAAUUUAUGUUAAUUUUAAGAGUCAAAUAGUUUUAAUUUUGUGGUCGGUUCCUUCUCCAAAUCCAGUGCAUAACGGGAGCUAAACUGUAUUAGGCUGCCCUUUUUUUUUUAACAGUUUAAUUUUGACCAUGAAUUCGAGCAUGAAAUUCAAACCUCAAAAUCUUGUAACUUUAACCAUUACUUAAUUACAUAUGGUAGUGUAUAUAUAUUGUCAUUGGUUAAAUUAGUUGGACAAAAUCAAUUGUUAAUUUCAAUUAAAUAUAUAAUUUUGAAAUUAUAUAAUUACAUUCGAAGUUUUUUGAUAGUUCGUAACUUGUAUUGAUAGGAACAAUCAAACGAUCUAAGAUGUGAUCCCUAAUAUGAUAGUGUAGAUGUCUCGUUAUCAAUUAAAUUAGUCAGAUAGCAUCAAUUGUUACUUCUAAUCUAACAUACAAUUACGUUUCGAGUAUUUUGAUAGUUUAGAACUUACAUUGACUGAAAUAAUCAAUCGAUCUAACAAGAUUUGAUCCUUAAUAUGAUAGUGAAUAUAUCUUGUUAGGGAUGGUUAAAUUAGUAGAUAAGUCAAUCGUUAAUUUCAAUCUAAUAUAUAAUUUCAUUUGAAGUUUUUUGAUAGUUCAUAAUUUGUGUUGAUAGGUGUGAGAAAUAAUGGAGAAAAAUAGUAAUGAGUUGUUGUAUCUAAAUUAUUACAUUGAGAUCCUAUUUAUAGAUACUGAAUUAAACUCCUUUUCAAACUAGGAUACUGACAUUACAAUUCUUUUCCAAGUAGAAUUCUAUAUAAUAUUCCUAUUCCUACUCAUAUUUUAAUUCCCCCUCAAGCUGGUGCAUGCAAGUAAUAUAUACUGAGCUUGUUACAAAUGUAUUUAAUACGAGGACCAGCGAGGUAAUUGAAAAUAUAUGCAAGUUGAUCACUCGAUUUCAUAAGCUUUUUAACAAUAUCUUUGGAAAGUAUCUUCUCUCUCACAAAGUGACAAUUAGUCUCAAUGUGCUUAGUUUUCUCAUGAAAUACUGGAUUUGAUGUGACAUGAAGAGCCUCGUGGUUGUCACACACAAAUUCCAUUUCAUUGAUUUCUCCAAAUUUUAAUUCUCUCAACAACUAUUUGAUCCAAACUAGCUCACAAAUGGCCAGCAGCAAUGCUAGAUAUUCUACUUCUGCACUAGAUGGAGCAACCACAUUCUGUUUCUUACUCUUCCAAGACACCAAAUUACCUCCUAUUAAAAUACAAUAUUCGGAUGUAGGACGUCUAUCACAAAGUGAUCCUGUUUAAUUAGUGUUUGUAUAUCCAACAAUUUGCUCUUGACCUUAAUCCGCGAAGAGUAGUCCUUUACCUAGAGUUGAUUUAAUAUAUCACACAAUGCGAAUAACUGCAUCUCAAUGACCAUCACAGGGAGAAUCCAUAAACCAACUUAUAACACUCAAGGAUAUGAAAUGUCAGGUCUGGUCACUGUGAGAUAAUUCAACCUACCAACUAGACAGCUAUAUCUUCCUGGAUCAUUGAGUGGCUCCCCCUGUCCUAGCAGGAGUUUAGCAUAUGGAUCCAUAAGAGUGUUAACAGGUUUACAUCCCAUCAUUCCUGUCUCCUCGACAAUGUCCAAGGCAUACUUGCUUUGCGAAAUAACAAUACCUAAUCUAGACUGUGCAACUUCAAUAUCUAAAAGAUACUUCAGCGGUCUUUAGUCUGGAAAUAUUGAAAGAGAUGUUGCUUCAAACUAAUGAUAUCAUCUUGAUCAUUGCUUGUAAUAGCAAUAUCAUCAACGUAAAUCACCAAAUAAAUACAUAGAUUUGGAGCAGAAUGUAGAUAAAACACAAAGUGAUCUCUUCAGUAGUAAUCAUACCAAACUUCUGAGUUAAUGUGCUGAACUUUCCAAACCAUGCUUGAGUAGAUUGUUUUAGACCAUAAAGUAAUCGAUGCAAUCGACACACCAACCUACACUCCCCCCUGAGCAACAAAGUCAGGUAGUUGCUCCAUAUAAACUUCCUCUUCAAGGUCACCAUGGAGAAAAAUAUUCUUAAUAUCUAACUGAAAAAGAGACCAGUGUCAAGUAGUAACCAUUGAUAAAAAAAAAAUGAAUAGAUGCUAUUUUAGCCACGGGAUAGAAUAUCACUAUAAUCAAACCCAAAUAUCUGAGUGUACCCCAUGGAGAAAAAUAUUCUUAAUAUCUAACUGAAAAAGAGAUUGUGUCAAGCAGUAACCAUUGAUAGAAAAAGACGAAUAGAUGCUAUUUUAGCCACAGGAUAGAGUAUCACUAUGAUCAAACCUAAAUAUCUGAGUGUACCCCAUGGAAACAAGGCGAGCCUUAAGUCGAUCAAAUUGGUCGUUCAAACCAACUUUCACUGUACAAACCCAUCGAUAACCAACAGUUGAUUUACUUAAAAGGAGAGGAACAAGCUCUCAAGUGCCACUCGUAUGUAAAGUAGACAUCUCUUUAAUCAUAGCCUCUCCCCAUCAUGGAUGAGAAAGUGGUUAUUUUGUGAAUUUAGGGAUGAAAAUGGAGGACAAAAAUGAUAUAAAGGCUAACGGGGUGAUAAUAGACUAUGAUAACUUAAAAAGGGUAUAUAGUAAAGGUUAACAUUACGAGUGGACCAUAUACCUUUUCGAAGUGCAAUCGGAGGAGAUUAGUCUGUAGUACGUGCAGGGUCAGGUGCAGGACGGGAAUCAUCUGGGCUUGAUGCUGUACGUAGACGAUGAUGAUAAGUUAGGAGUGGCUGUACUAUAGAUAGAGUUGUAGAAGGUAUUGUAGAUUCCUCAAAAUUCUGUGCAGUUAAGACUGGUAGCACUAUGGAUGGAGAUGUAAAAGUAACGGUACGAAUCUCAAAAGUUGAUACGGGUAAGACCUCAGACAUGUUAUGAUGAUCAGGAUCAGAAGAAAAUAUAAAGUAAGGUUGAGACUUAAAGAAUGUGACAUUAGCUGACAUAAGGUAUUGACGAAGAAUAGGUGAGUAGCAACGAUAUCCUCUUUGUACCCAAGAAUAACCAAGAAAGACACAUUUGAGAGCACGAGGGGUUAAUUUAUCUUUUCCUGGGGUAAAGUUAUGAAUAAAACAUGCACUCCUAGAGAUACGAGCGGGAAGAGAGUAGAGAGGUGACUGUGGAAACAAUACUGAAUAUGGCAUUUGAUUUUGAAUGGAAGAUGAGGGCAUCUAAUUAAUUAAAUAACAAGAUGCGAUAACUGCAUCACCCCAAAAUGCAGUGGAACAUGGAAUUGAAUAAGAAGAGUGCAAGUAGUCUCGAUGAGGUGCCUAUUCUUUAUCUCUGUUACUCUACCCUAUUGAGGGGUACACAAACAAGAAGUCUUGAUGAGUAAUUCCUUGAUUAAUUCCUUGAUGAGUCAUAAAUGAUUGAAAUUGGGAGAAUAUAUAUUCUAAGGCCUUAUCACUACGAAAGGUACGAAAGAGAUACCAAACUUAAGUUGCUUGGACUCGGGUGCAGGUGUUCGAUACGAGUACAAAUCUAGAGGUCGAAUCCUUCAUGGUCUCAAUCUAAGUUGCGCGGACUCUUCAUUUUUUAUGCCGCACUCGUGUCGGAUUCUUCAAAAAUACACUAAUUUCGGCAAAUCUGACACACACCCAUUGACAUUUUUGACGAGUCCGAGCAACAUAGGUCUCAAUUUAAAGAUUUGGGGAUACGAUCUAGGGAUGGAUACAGGUGCGGGGAUUCGACAAAAAAUGAUUUAAAUAUCUAAAUAUAGAGAUAUAAAAUAUAAAUUAUGAGAUAUUAUGUGCAACACCCCGCAUUUUCGAGCUAGAAAUUGAAUUGUCGUUCCUACCUGUGCAAACUCUAAUCCCAUGAUUCAUGUUUUAAUUCACUUGUCAUGAUCUUUAUCCUAGUUUAUGAAGUUCUCUCAAAGUGAAAGAUGUUCAUAGAAUUUACUGAGAGCAAAGUUGAGCUAAGAAUCUUUUAUUCUUCCAAAGUUUGGUAUUCGAGUCUACAAGGGUCUACUUUGAACGUGUAUAACUUUUGAUAUACAUGGAAUUUUUCAGCUCAAGACCCACUAAAUUGUAGAUGAUUGAAUCAACUUUUCAACGAUACCAACUUCACCUAACUCCGAUACCCGAGUGAAAAGUUAUAGCAUUUUUUAUGUGAGGCAGUAAGCUGCCGCGAUUACACCGCUUGGCGGUGCCUAUAGCGGUGGAACCAAUAGCGCUCAGCGGUAAGCCUUAAAAUCAGGAUUGUCCAAAAUAGUUGGUCACCGCGAUUACACCACUCGACAGUGCCUAUAGCGGUGGCACCAAUAGUGCUUAGCGGUAAAACUCAAAAUCGGUAUUUAUGCUGAAACUUUUAAUUUUGAGGGGUAGUCUUGUCUUUUUCGUACAAACUCAAGUCAUGUAAACAGUGAAUUAAGACAUCUUUUGGGCAUAAUAUGUCCAAAUUCACUCAAAUUUAUCAAGAACAAAACCCUAACCUCCCUCCUAAAGAUCAAGAAUCCAUACUUUAAGUUCAAGAUUUUCAAGAAACAAAAUCAAGAUUCGGAUCCUAUCCUUCGAACUAAGUAGUCUAAGGUAUGUGGGACUAUCCUUAAACUCCAUGGGCAUGGGUUUUAAUCUUCUUAUCAAACUUAAAGAUAUACAUCCAUGUUUUCGAAAAAUGGCUUCUUAACGAUUGAAUUAUAUGCAUCAUGGUUUCGUUUUGAUGAAAGUAUAUGUUGGUUUAGAUCCUCUUUAUAUAGAACUGAAUUUGCAAUUAUAUAUAUAUACAUGUGUUUUCGAUUAUCUUUUGAAGGGUUAAAUUGAGAGCAUGAUUAAUGAACUUCCUCCCUUGUUAUGAAAUAUAUUGAUUAUUUGAAUUGUGUGUGAUUUUGAAUGCAUGGACUACGUUUUGAAAGUAAGCUUCUCAACAUCAUGAUGAUUGACAUGUUUUAUGAUAUAAUGAGGGGGGACAUCAUGAUGAUUGACAUGUUUUAUGAUAUAAUGAGGGGGGAGUUUUCUUGCUAUAAUUAAACUUUUUGCAUUAAAAGAAGAGUUGCAUGUGAUUGAAUAAUUAGCAUGACCACCAUAUGUUUUAAGUUUUGCAAAAGAGGUAAUUGCAUAAGUUUUCUUGAAAUUUCAAAGUGAUGACUCUCUUAUAAUGUUGUGAAUCAUUGGUGGUCAUUUGCAUGUUCUAAAUGAGAUAGGCUGUGAAAUUGACACGAUAUGAACGGCUUGUAAGUUGGGGUAUGACGAUACCCGAAGAUGAUACGCCCUUAAUUGAAUAAGUAUAAAAUGUUUUAAAAGCAUGAAGCAUAACUAAAAUUGGACUUAAAGAUAGGUAGUUGGUUACCCGAAGAAGGUUGGAGUUCAGAUAACUCUUAACCCGAAAUCGUGUUUUGCCGAUAUGGGUUUAUGAUGUCCUACAUUAAGGAUUUUACGCUAGCGAUGACCAUGUGGCGUAGUAUAAAUGACAGACCCUAAUCCUUGCGGCAAACUCGGAUUGAGGGCUUGGUCACCGAGUUGAGGACGGAGUCCAUAUAGCCCGUGGAUAAGUACGUUUGUAGGGUGCACCAUCUAGCUCAGAAGUAAAAUAAAGAGUGAGUCAUGAUUUCCAAAACUUGUUUGGAAGUCAUUAAAGUAUGCCCAUGUGUUUUCACUUAUCUUAUGUUCAUCGUUUUAAGAAACGCUCUCACCUAUGUUAUAUAAAAGCAUGAUUUUUGGAUUGUUUCACAUACUAGUACAUUUGUAUUGACGCCUCUAUAUUUCAGGAUCUGAGGCACAGUCCCGGAGUUCUGCUAAGCAGUAGAUCAGUUUAUCAGACUUGGAAGUUGGUGAGCUUCCCUCGUUCCGGAGGACCUUAGUUUUAUGUUUUUAUCUUCACUUGUUUCUAGUUCAUGGUCCGACCCGGGGCAUUGUACCGGUCACAGACAGAUGUUUUCAUAAUGUUAGAGAUUUCGCAGACUGGUGUCCUAUGUUUUCGAAUGUUUCGAAUUUAAUUUUGUAUGGUAUAGUUGGACUAAGAGAUUGACCAUGUUUCCAUCUUAUUAUGUUUUUCUGCACUUCUUUAUAAACAUAUGAAUUAUGCGUAUGAUUUCCAGUAAGAAGGGGCACUCGGAUCCCUACGGUUCGAGAUGCCCGUCGCGGCUAGGGCCUCUGUCUGGGUCGUGACAUUAUGUUGAUAACUUAAGGAGAAAAUAUUAUUCAAGAAGAAAAUCUUGAAAGGAGAUAAAAAGAAAAGCAAUAACAUAGAAAUUUCUAUAAACAAGGUAUUCUAUUUCUUCAAUUUUACCUUAGCUUUUAUUUUGAUUACAGAAUUUCUUAAAUCUGUUCGGAAUUUUCAAGUUGAUUUGGGUCAAAGUACCCAAAAGCGAUUGACCGGAUUGAGUAUAGAUCUCACACCCAUUCCCACACCCACACCCCAUGGGUAUGGCACUGAAAAUGAAGAGUUCGAGUAACUUAGCAUCCAACUGAUUUUGUAUUUCAGCACAAUAACUCUCGAAUAUAGGAAACAAUUUAGAGCGAUCUUUCAUUAAGAAAAUCCUAGUACAUUUCAAUAAUCAUCAAUAAAGCUAACAAAAUAAAGAAACCCUAAGGUAUAACUGAUUCUACAAGGACCCCAAAUAUUAGAGUAACCAAGUAAAAGAUAGACUCUGCACGAUUCUCAGUACUACGUUGAAAGAUAGUUCGAAUGUGUUUCCUAAGUUGACAUGACUCACAAUCUAAUGUGGAUAAACUAGACAAACUAGGCACCAUCUAGGGGUGUUCAAAAAUCGAACUGAUAAAACUGUUAUUGGGUUAUUGGGUAAACGGGUUUUUAUUGAUUUUAUAAAAAAAUUAUUAGAUAACCGGUUCUGUUUCGAUUUUAGCUUCUCGAUGACCCGAUAAGGAUAUAUUAAAUUACUAUUUUACUCCUAUUUAUAUUAUAUAUAAAUAUUUCUAUUACUUCUUUAUAAUAUGUAUAUAUAUAUUAUUAAUAUACAAAGAAAAAGCAUAAAUACCCCUAUGAACUUGUCUCCAGGACUUACUUUAGCACUUUAACUUUAUAGGCAAUUACUCACCUCCCUAAACGACUUUCGCGUAUAUUAAAUACAACCUCAAAAUGUAAUACCACUCUCACAAUGGAGAGUGUAUUACACUAGCGACACGUUAAUGCCAUGUCAGCGUCAUGUCAUUGCCAUGUCAGAGCUACAUAAAAAAUUAUUUUAAAAAAUAAUUUUACUGAUAUAUAAUUUAUAUACAACAACAACAAACCCAGUAUAUUCCCACAUAGUAGGGUCUGGAAAGGGUAGAAUGUACGCAAUCCGUACUACUACCUCCGAAGAAGUAGAGAGGUUGUUUCCGAUAGACCUCCGACUCAAGAUACAGGACCAUAGACAUAUGUCGCCAGCAUACAACAUGAUAAGAAUAACAACGAUACAACAACCACAGAAAUAUAGUAAAUUAACCAACCAAAGACACCCCCUUCCCCCCAACCCUAGCAUUACCAACAAAGCUACACCAAACUCUCUUAACUACAGCCUAUGACUUGACCACACCCCUUAGCCCUCUACCCUAUACUCUUCCUCCAAACCUUCCUAUCAAGGGUCAUGUCCUCAGUGAGCCGUAACUGCUCCAUGUCACGUCUAAUCACUUCUCUCUAGUAUUUCUUGGUCUACCCCUACCUCGCUUGAAACCAUCCAGGGCCAACCUCUCAUACUUACGAACCGGGGCAUCCGUGCCCCUUCUCAUCACAUGCCCAAACCAUCUCAACCUCACUUUCCGUAUCUUAUCCUCCACCGAAGCCACUUCCACCUUCUCCCGAAUAAUCUCAUUCCUAACUCUGUCAGCCCUUCACAUAUUCAUCGCCACAUCCUCAUUUUUGCCACCUUCAAUUUCUGGACGUAAGAAUUCUUAACAGGCCAGCACUCCGUUCCAUGCAACAUAGCCGGCGGGACUGCAACUCUGUAGAAUUUACCUUUAAGCUUGGGAGGUACCUUCUUAUCACAUAAAAUUCCUGAGGCGAGCCGCCAUUUCAGCCAACCUGGCCCAAUACGGUGAGAAACAUCCUCAUCAAUCUCUCCAUUCCCCUGAAUCAUAGACCUAAGGUACUUAAAACUAUCCCUCUUACAAACCACCUGAGACUCCAACUUCACUACCAACUCAGCCUCUUGCCUCGAGUCACUAAACUUGCACUCCAAGUACUUCGUCUUGAUCCUACUCAACCUGAAUCCUUUAGCUUCUAGGGUUUGUCUCCAAACCUCCAACUUAUCAUUAAUACCUCGACGUAACUCAUCAAUAAAACUACAUCAUCCGCAAAAAGCAUACACCAAGGCACCUCACCUUGAAUACUCAGUGUCAACACAUCUAUCACCAAGGCGAAUAAAAAUGAACUAAGAGUCGAUCCCUGGUGCAACCCUAUCAAGACCAAAAAAUGCUCGAAAUCCCCUCCCACAUUCCUUACCCGAGUCUUCGCCCCCUCAUACAUUUCCCUAAUCGCACGAAUGUACGCCACUGGACCCCCCUUACCUUCAAGCAUCUCCAAAGAACCUUCCUAGGGACUUUGUCAUACGCCUUUUCCAAGUCAAUAAACACCAUGUGCAGAUCCCUCUUCGUCUCUCUAUACUGCUCCACUAGUCUCCGUACUAGGUGAUUUCCUCAGUCGUCAAGCGACCAGGCAUAAAACUAAAUUGGUUCUCCAAAAUAGACACUAUCUUCCUCAACCUCUGCUCCACCACCCUCUCCCAAAUCUUCAUCGUGUGACUCAACAACCUAAUACCACAGUAGUUGUUGCAACUCUGAAUGUCACCCUUGUUCUUAUAUAAAGAAAUUAUUGUGCUCUAUCUCUACGCCUCGGGUAUCUUAGCGGACUUGAAAAUGUUGUUGAACAACUUGGUCAGCCACCGUAACCCUGCCCCGCUAGCAAACUUCCAAAAAUCCACUGGUAUCUCGUCGGGCCUCGUCGCCCUGCCUCUUCACAUAUUGUGAGUAGCCUCACAAACCUCCUCCACCUUAAUAUGCGGACAAUAGCCAAAAUCGUGACAUCCUUCGGUGUGCUCCAACUCCCCUAACACAAUGCCUCUGUCCCCCUCAUCAUUCAAGAGCCUAUGAAAAUACAACUGUCAUCUUUUUAUUUUUCUCUUCCUGUCUCAUCAUCAAACAUUACCUUUGCCCAAUGUUUUUUUGGUCAUAAAUUCAUACAAAAAUUUCAACAAGGUGAACCCAUAGAUUUGAAGAGUUGUUCUAUAUUCUCCCAUUUGAGAAGUCAUUGAAAUUGUUUAAUUAGGUCUCACUUUUACUAAAUUUCUUCACUUUAAUCCUAAAAUUUUCUUUAAUAAACAUUUUCAUUGCACAAUAUACCUCAUUUGUUUCAAAUUCCAUACAAUAAUUAAAAAGGGAUAGGAGGGCGGGGAAGAGAUGGGGUGGGGAGUGUCGAAGAAGAUGGAAGAGGGUUGUUUUUGAAGAGGAAGGGGUGGGGGUCUUGAAGAAGAUGAAAAGGGGGUAUGAAUUUUUUUAGUUAUUAUUUAUUUUAUUAUAUUUAAUUAAAUUAUAUAUAAUAAUUAAAAAAUUAUUAAAAUAUUCCAUCAACACUUUUUUUAACAAAUAAACGUGCUUUAAAUUUAUUUUUAUUUUUUUGCCACGUCAACCAUUAAGGAGGUAAUAUAAUUCACACGAAAUUUGUUUAAGGGGGUAAAUAAUUAUCUAUAAAGUUAAAGUGCUAAAAUAAGUUGUGGUGACAAGUUUAGCGGGGUAUUUAUGCUUUUUCCCUAAUAUAUAUUACUUAUUCACAAUUCUCAAAGUAUUAAGUUAAUACUUUAAAACAAAAUUGCAAAAGUUAGACAGUCACUAUUGACUAUUCAGUAUUUAGAAAUCACAACACAAACCCGUUGUUGUAAACCGACGAGUCGAGACGACGAGGAUCGAGCAACCGACAACCCUCGUUGUGAAUAAUGUAUAUUUUUAUCUUUUUGGUUCCUUGUUAAUAUACUUUAUUUUAAAUUACGGGUUAGAAUAGAUUUGAAUAGAAGCAGGUAAACAAAGGCAUAAAGCACGGUGUUCGAAAGCUUGAAGAAUUCAGUAGCAUCCAACAACUAGGAUUUAGUUUUUUUUUCAAACUAACAUUCAAUUCAAAUUUGAAAAUUCUUGUAAACUAAAACACGUUGUGUAGGAUAUUAGCGGCAACUAAGAUUCCGUCUUUUUUAUGUUAGUUGUUACUAUUUUCAUUUUAUGAGUAUUUUCUUAUUAGUUAAAUCAAAAAUCUAACCGUUAAGGACCAAAAAAUAAUAAAUCGAAAAUCGAUAAAAAAUAUCUUAUUGGUUGGUUAUUGGUUUUGCAUAUUUAAAAAUUGAAAAUCGAUAAACCAAACCAAUAACACAUAAAACCGAACCGAACCAACCGAUGCACACCCCGAGCACCAUCUUUUGUAAUUUGAAUAAACUAGGAUGUCCUAAAUAUUUGUGAAUUAUGUCCGGAGAAUCUGUAUUUGAACAUGCUAUGGAUGAGUUAGGAGAGGUAAGGUAGUAACGGCCUUGUGAUUCAUAUCUUACACCAAUUGUUUGUUCUGUACUACAAUCAUGCAUGAUAAAAGAGUCCUCAAGAAAUAGCAUGUCAUAAUUUAGGGCACGAGUCAAACAACUGGUUGAUGCAAGAUUAAAAGGACAACCAGAGACCUAAAAACAGAAUUUAAAGUGAUAGAGGAUAGUGGAGUAGCUUGUCUAACUCCUUUUGCUUUGGUUUGGUUGCCAUUGACUAAAGUGACAGUUAGAAAAGACCGUGAAUAAACAAUAUUUAGUAGAAGUGAUUUAUCACCAGAAAUAUGAUCAGUAGUGUCAUUCUCUACAACCCAUGAUCCAAAGGUUGGAGAUUGUGCAGUUGAGACUAUUGGUAGAGAUAUAUACUUGCUCAAUACUGAAGAUGCUCAUUAUAUUCCUUUUUCGAUAAAUUCACCUAUUGAUUACCUGUGGUGUUACACUGAGCAACAUGCGUAUUUUUAGGGGGUCGACCAUGCAAAAAAUAGCAUAUUCCACAAGUAUCUCCAAGUGUAUUACAAUAACUAUUCUUAGGGCGAGAAUAACAUAUGUCAUGAGCAUAUCCAAGCCUUUUACAAUAACUACACCUAGGACGAGAUCUUUCAAAACGAUCUCCCCCUCGUUGAUUCUUCAUGGAUUGGGAUGUUUGAUUUUCUGAUCUCCUCAUUAAGGGUUCAGAAGUGAUCAUAGGGCUUGAAUUUUCAAUUCUCGUAUAUUUGGAGCCAAAAAAUAUCACACCCAAAAGACAUGAUAUUAGAAUUUUGUAGCCAAAUAUUCUGGAAAUCUCCUAUUGAAACAUGAAAAGCAAAUCUAUAUGUAUGUCUGAUUUUACUGGAAAACUCACUGGAAAAAAAUUAAAGUUGCCCGAAAUUAGAUCUGAUAGUCAAAAGUUUCUCGAAAUAAAAAAAUAAUUAUAUUGGCAACCUCAGAAUGAACAGGCAAGGCUACUGGAAAAAAAAUUGUCGAAAGAAGCUGGAAGACGUUGCACACACCGCCAACGCAUGGAUUUGAUGCGCUCGCCGGAGAAUAUAUUCAGGAGGCGCGUGUGACACCUAUUUCCAGCGAGUCUGAUUGGGGUUUGCUCGUUGUGAAGUUCGAACCUUAUAGUGGUGUUGGUUUGUUUUGAAAUUCACUGACAGAAAAGAUAUUUAUUUGGACGACUUGUGUCACCAAAAAAUGCACUGUGACGCUGGAAUGAUAUUUUUCUCACGAAUGCUCUGAUACCAUUUGAGAAAUAAUGGAAAAAAAUAUUAUUGAAUUAUUGUAUCUAAAUUAUUACAUUGAGACUCUAUUUAUAGACACUAUAUUAAACUCCUUUUCAAACUAGGAUACUAACAUUACAAUCCUUUUCCAAGUAGGAUUCUAUCUAAUAUUUCUAUUCCUACUCAUAUUUUAAUAAUAGUAAAAUCGAACAAUCUAAUAAGAUGUGAUCCCUAAUAUGGUGGUGUAAAUGUCUUGUUAUCGAUUAAAUUAGUCAGAUAAAGUCAAUCAUUACUUCUAAUCUAAUAUAUAAUUACAUUUCAAGUAUUUAAAUAGUUAAGAACCUACAUUGACAAGCAGAAUCUAACGAUCUAACAAGAUGUGAUCCCUAAUAUGAUAGUGUAUAUACACUAUCAUCUGUAAUUAAAUAAUAUGGCGGUGUAAAUGUCUUGUUAUCGAUUAAAUUAGUCAGAUAAAGUCAAUCAUUACUUCUAAUCCAAUAUAUAAUUACAUUUCAAGUAUUUAAAUAGUUAAAAACCUACAUUGACAAGCAGAAUCUAACGAUCUAACAAGAUGUGAUCCCUAAUAUGAUAGUGUAUAUACACUAUCAUCUGUAAUUAAAUAAUGGUUAUAUGAUUUUGGGGUUUGAGUUUCAUGCCCGAAUUUAUAGUUAAGCUUAAACUAUUUGACUUUCAAAAUUAAAACUGUCACAUAAAUUGAAACAAAAGAAGCAUAUUUAUAUUAAAAAAGAAGCAUAUUUAUAUAAAGACUUAAAAAUAUCUUCAGAAUAAAAUGACCAAAAGGAAGGAGGUACACAUCUCAUUUAAUGAGACUUCUUGCAAAACACUUUUUUGGGGGGAACUUAUGAAAAUCUAUAUUUUCAACACCAACUUAACAUUCCCUACUAAAGUGAAAAGGCCAACAAAGAACCAAGAGUCGGAGAACAAAAAAAAGAACAAAGAAAUCAUUCUCUCUCUGCUUCAUCUAAACUUCUGUGUUCUUCCAUAGCAAAAAAAAGUUAAGAACUUUUCUCAUCUAAUAUCCAUUAAGAUGUCAUUAUCAGCGGUUGAAAAACAAAAAGGAAAAGACAUUUCGAGACCAACAAAAAGCAUUGGAUCAAAUUUUGAUGACAAACCUCUAUGGAAUCAUGCUAAGGUUCUUAUGGUUGCUCCAAAUGGUGGUGGAAACAAAAUAUGGUCAUGUAUGCUUUGCAAUAAAAAAGUUACGGGCUCAUCUUCUGAAGCUUUCUAGUCAAAGGGUUGCAAUGUGCAAAGAGAUUAGUCAUGAAGUAUGUGCAUCAUUGAAGAUGGAGAAUGAAGAAGCUGAAAAGAAAAAAUCAAGGAUACAACUGGAUGCCCAAAAAAGGGCCUAUUACAUAACUCUACCAGAAGGCUCAGAUUUAUCACAACAGAAAAAAGAGAAAAAGAGAAAAGGUUCAACUGGUGGAGCAUCGGAGGAAUCUGCAAGCAUUUGUAAAAGAAAUACUGCUGACAAGUUGGUGGUUCGAAUGUUCUAUGCAUUAAGUUUAUCAUUCAAUCUUGCAACUUCACCUUACUUUAAUAAGUAUUCAGAGUUUUUGGUGAUAAAUCCUAUACCUGGUUAUGUUCCACCAACUUAUAAUAGGUUAAGAGCAACUAUUUUAGCUCAAGAAAAGGCUAAUAUAAAUUGAAAAUUAUAACCUAUUCGAUAUACAUGAAAAAAAAAAAAAAAAGGAUUACUGAUUAGUUCGGAUGAAUGAUUUGAUACUAUAAGGCGACGAUUGAUAUAUAUAAUGGGAGCAUCUAGUGGUGGACCAAUAUUCUUGAAAUCAAUUAAUUCAAGUUGAACUAUCAAGGAUGGUGAGUAUAUUUCUAAGUUAGUUAUUAAAGUCAUAGAAGAUGUUGAUCAAAAAAUUGUUGUUCAAGUUUUCAUUGAUAAUGCAGGAAAUAUGAAGCUUGCCAGUUCAAUUGUUGAACUAAUUAUUUUGCAAAUAUUUUGGACAUCAUGUGUCAUUCAUUGUUUAAAUCUUGCUUUGAAAAGUGUGUACCGACCUUUCGAAAAAUUAGCUCAUUUCUCAAGUAGUGAAUAAACACUAAAAUUGAUUGUUGAAGUGAGUAGCUUACAGAAUAAUCUGGUGAAUCAUUAUAUGUCACAUGCCAUUUCCCAAAAGCAUUCAGAACUUCGUUAAAAGUUGCCGAAACAAGAUUUGCGUUCGAUAUUGUCAUGACUUAUCAUAUUCACAAAGUAAAAUCGUCAUCGUAAAAAAUGAUAAUGAAUUGAAUUCGAGUUCAAACCCUCAUGGAAAUAAUAUUUGGUAAUAAAAAAAUGAUAAUGGAUGACAAAUAAAAAAAUACUAUGGAGAUAAAGUACUUGAAGCAAGGGCCCAUAGAACAAAAUCUCUUGUGAUGGAUAAUAAAUGGUGGGAUAGAGUUGAGUACUUUUUAAAGUGUACUACUAAUUGUAUCCAAGCUUAGAAGAGCCGACCUUGAUUGUCCACAAUUGCACCUUAUCUAUGACAUGUGGGAUAUAAUAACUGUAUGAUGAUUUGUUUGAUAAAAUUCAAGCAAUUCUUGUUUUUAGAUGGACUAAAGAGUAAAAAUCUAUUGCAUCGUUUGACACAUUCCUUGGUUCCCAAAUACUACCAUCAAUCGUGGCUUCAAGGUGAGCAAUAGGAUCAGAAUACUUGCUCCUAACGAAAAUAGGGAGAUUUCUUUAAAUAGAAUCAAAAUGCUUUUAAAGAUAUUUCAAAGAUCCAAAUGAUGUAAAACUUCUUUGGCGUACAGGACAUUUUGUAGUGGGAAUGGUCACUUUAGUGAGCCUCAUGUGAUUGACGCUAUGGGGUAUGAAGAGUCUCUAUCUUGGUGGGCUAACUGUGGUAUAAAUGCUCCACUUUACAAAGUCUGGCUUACAAAUUGUUUUCCCCACCUUCUUCUUUAUCUUGUUACGAAAGGAAUUGGAGCACUUUUUGUUAAUUCAUAGCAUCAAGAGAAAUAAGUUAUCUACUUCAAGAGCCAAAUAUUUAGUGUUUGUGAAUUAUAAUCUUCAUUUGCUCUCUCCAAAAAAAGAAAAAUACAUAAGUGGUCCAAGCAAAUAUUGGAAUUUAGGUGGAAGAUCAUUUUAAUAUUGAUGAGAAAGUAUCACAGAUUUAGUUGAAUUGUCAAUUGAUGAACCUCAACUAGAGGGAGUCCUCUUUGAAAAUGAAGUUGAAGAUUUGGAGGAAAAUGACAUGAAAGAAAUUGAGUAUGACGACCUUUGAAUUAAAUUUAAAUGUACUAAUCUAAAUGUCUUAAGUAUUAAUUAGUUUAAAGGCAUAAUAUAUAAACAUGUCCUUUAACUUGUCCCCAAAUCACAUCUAUGACCUACAACUUUGGGUGUGCACAAGUAGGCACUUAAACUUGUAUAAAGUUGAACAAGUAAACUCUCACGUCCUGUGUGACAUAAUACACGUAGGACGCCAUGUAGGACAAGAAUUGGCCACGUAGGAUGCCACAUAAGAUAUAUGUGUCUACAUUUUCAACUUUAUAUAAGUUUAAGUGCCUACUUGUGUACACCCAAAGUUGGAAGUCAUAGAUGUGAUUUGAGGCCAAGUUAAAUAUUUAUGAAUUGUGCUUAGUUUAAAUUUGCAUGUUAUGUACUCACUUUUGGUCUAUGAACUUGUGAACAUGCAGUUAAUUUGAAUUAGUAAUUGACUUGUGACUCUCUUUACUUUUUGUUAGUCUAUUUGAUUCUAACAUGGGUAACUCAACUAACUUCUAAAGAUUAAAAUGUUUCAUAUCUUUGACUCUUUUUGUAACUUCUAUUUGCUAUAUUUCAAUAAGAUUAUUUUAAUACUUGGGUAACUCAACUAACUUCUAAAGACUAAAGUAUGUUUCAUAUCUUUGACUCUUUAACUCUUUUUGUAACUUUUAUUUGUUAUAUCAAUAAGAUUAUUUUAAUACUUUGUUGCGUUAGUUGUAAGAAAAUGGAUGAAUGAUGCCCUUUUGGAGAGUUCUGUUACCUGCGGCCUGUCUAUAAGAAUUAAAAAACUCAGCUGCUUGUUACAACACUCUACAAGGCACAUGAUACAUUUAAGGUUUCCACAAUGUCUCAUAUUAUGCAUAUUUCUAUAGCUAUGUUUUGUAUUUUUAGUUUUAUUUUGCGGAGUCCCCGCUCCCCUAUCCAUAUCUGGAUCCAUAUACCCGAAUCUUAACAAUCAUGAAGGAUCCAACAUUUGGAUCCGCAUCCGUGCAACUAAGAUCAGAUCUAUUUGGAUUUUCAGCUGAGCCAUGUCCUGGUCACAUUCCUCUUCUUUCUUUAGUUGUUCCUGCCCUUUGUAGGCACUACCACUGACAACUUAUGAUUCCCUAUGAUUCCCAAGUGUGCCACGCUCUGUUGAUUCUUAGUCUUCUUGUCCAAGAGCUCACUUGUGACAGCAAAAGAGUGGUCCAUCAAAGUCAGUGUUCAGCCCAUCUAGAAACCUGUAGAAGUACCUCAUCGAGCGAUCCAUGAACACUGCUUAAUCUUCUCAAAUCUCAGUCAUGCUUCACGUAAGGCUUCUCCUAGUAAUUGCUUGAACUUGUUUAUCUCAUCUCGCAGCUGUAUCAUUCGGAAUGGUGGGUAAAACCUCUCUAAGAACGUUGUUGUCAACUCUGCCCAUGUGGUAAUAGAUUAGUGCAGGGGCCGACCCAUGUGUAAUUUUGGGGUGCUCCGGCACCCACUACCUGUGUUAUGAAAUACUUCCAGAAGAUCCAAGAAGAAGGACUGACAUUCGUCGUCGUGCACCUCGCUUCUUUUACUAUAAAGACACGUUAUACAGAAGAUUGUUUGAUGGAGUACUCUUGCGAUAUUUGGGAGAGGAAGAAGAAAUUCAAGCUUUGCAAGAAGCGCACUUGGGAGUUUGUGGAUCGCAUCAGUCUGGACCGAAGCUCUAUUUUCACAUUAAAAGAGUAGCAUACUAUUGGCCAACGAUGGUGAAAUAUUGCUUGGACUAUGCUAGAAGAUGCAAAGCUUGUCAAUUCCAUGCGAGUUUUAUACAUCAACCUCCUAAAGUAUUACGCCCAACUGUAGCAUCCUGUCCAUUCAAUGCUUGGGGAAUGGAUGUUGUUGGGCCACUACCAAAUACUUCUGAUGGAUACUUAUACAUCUUGGCCUCGAAAGAUUAUUUUUCAAAAUAGGGCAAAGCAUUAUUUUUCAAAAUAGGGCAAAGCUAUUGCUCUCAAAGAUGUAAAGAAGGAGAAUGUUGUAAAUUUCAUUCGAGUGAAUAUCAUCUAACGCUUUGGAAUCCCUCAAUAUAUAAUAACCUACAAUGGCAAGCCAUUUGAUAAUAAGCUGAUGAAUAAGAUUUUUGAUCUCUUUGGUUUCAAGCAGCACAAGUCUUCUAUGUACCAUGUUGUCGCCAAUGGUCUAGCUGAAGCAUUUAAUAAGACUUUAUGCAAUCUGUUAAAGAAAUUCAUCUCCAAGUCCAAAUGAGACUGGCAUGAACGAAUGAAAUAAGCUUUGUGGACAUAUAGAACAACUUACCGCACACAAGCACGAGCAACCCCAUAUUCACUUAUUUUUAGAGUUGAAGCAGUCCUGACACUUGAGCGUCAAAUACUUUCUUUGAGACUGGCUAUUCAAGAAGGGAUCACUGAUAAAGAAAAUGUUAAGUUGCGUUUUGUGGAGUUAGAAGCUCUUGAUGAGAAGAGGUUAGAGGCUCAAAAAAAUCUUGAAUGUUACCAAGCCCGUCUAUCUCGUUCUUUCAACAGAAGAGUUUGCUUGAGGUGCUUCCAAGUUGGAGAUCAAGUAUUUGCAGUAAGAAGAUCCAUUAUCACUUCUCAUCAGUCUAAGGGUAAAUUCACCCCAAAGUGGGAUGGGCCAUAUGUCAUAUAAGAAGUAUAUUCAAAUAGCGUUUACAAGCUUGUCGAUGUAGAUGGAGUGAAAAUUGGUCCUAUCAACAUCAAGUUCUUGAAGAAGUACAUCCUUGAAAGAAGAUGCCUCUUUAAGGCACAAAUAUAAACUACAUGUCCACUCUUUGCCCGCAAGAGUAUAAGUUAUGUACGGAUUAAAAAAGGGGUCCGCUAGGUUGAAAACCUUGAAAGAGGCGACCUAGGCAAAAGAUAGCACACACAAAUAGAUAAAUUUGAAUAAAAAAAAAACUCACAUAGAACUACAUUGUGACUUGAUCCUCUUCACUGAGGUGCGUAGGCACUUGGAAUUUCAUUCUGAACUUAGUUGCAUGAGUGUAAAAAAAAUACAUCUUUUCGCUUGAUCUGCCAUAUCAAAGUUAAGUCUGUUUUGUGGAGAAAUGACUCUUGAGUUUUUCACAAGUUCAAAUACUUUUGAAUAAAAAAGUUUAUAAACUCGCGAAUAGAAUCGCCACUUAAUUUAUUUAGAAAAAUUAAGAAAACUCUUGAAAUUACUUAGAUGAUCCAAAAUAGAAAAAUUAUUUAAGUUUUGAUGUCACAUGCUAUUAGCCAAAGAUGUCACAUGCUAUGACCUAAUUUCUAUCUUACACGAUUCUUAUUCUAGGCAUCUAGAAAGUUUAUAGCCAACACACCAAAUCAUAAGUCAAAAAUCUUUAAAGGAACAUGUGAACGGGAGGCAAAUAAGAUUAUUAAUAAUUUCCAACUCAAAGCCAAACAUUAUACCAAGCCAAAUCAUUUUUGUUGAUCAAUACUUCCUCCGUCCCAUUUUACUCGUCCCGAAUUGGGAUGACACAACUAUUAAGAAAAAUAAUAAAUAACAUGGCUAGUUUACCAUAGUACCCCCAUUAAAUGAUGUUUACAUUUUAAUUUAAAGAAAAAGUAAUUAAUGCAAAGGGUAAAAUAUGGAAAAAAAAUUGUCUUAUCUUGAUAAGUAAAAAAGGACAAGUAAAAUGGGACACCAGAUUAGGAAAUUUGAGACGGGUAAAAUAGGACAGAGGGAGUAUUAUGCAAGAAAUUAAUCACAGUCACACAAAAGGGCACAAUCAAUUUUUAAGAAAUUUUAAGGAUAAAUCCACUCUAUAAAAAGAUAAAUCCUUCUAAAAUUUUGUCAAAUUCGAACCCAUAACAUUAAAGGAAAGAAAAGACCUAGUGAUAUUCUACUAAAGAUUUUGAAGUAAAGUAAAGAUGAAGACUUUUUAAUUUAUAACACCCAAAAUAAACAUAAUGGCUCUAAGCCUUUAAGAUCUUACUGGAUUGAUCAAGAUUAAGUAAAUACAAUGCCAAGUAACAGAGGUGGCUAGCGUUUGCAAUCAAAAUACUAACAUCAAGACCAUAUAACAAAUAAUUGAAACAUCAAAAUAAAUGAUCAACACUCGCACUCGAAAUACAAUUCAAUAUCAUGGUGAGGUCAAUCCUAUUUAAAUAUCUCGGUUCUUUGAAUAGUACUACAAAGUAUUUUCAUAAAAUUAUAUUUUCCCUUUUACUAAAAUUUUUUCAGUAUUAUGAACAAGGAUGAUUUUGCAAGAGGUUUCACUAAUAUCGUUAAAGUAUAAUAACAUUGUUAACUCUACAUAAUGGACAGCAAUCAACUAUUACAAAAUCCUAUGGCCUUCACAGCUUCUACAGCGAAUCAUCCCAGCAACUACGAUUACAACUACAAUUACGACUACGAAUAACGUGAUUGUAAAGCUAAAAUACUAAAAGAAAAUUAACUAUAAUAAGAGGAAAGUAUUCGAAACUAAAGAUAAGAAGUGUUACCUGCUUCGGAGCAGCAAAAUGAAACUCGAGCUUUCGAUGUUAUCGUAACCACUACCGAAAAGUUUCACUACGACUCUGAGUAUUUUCAAUAAUCGACGACUUUCACGAAAAAAAUUCUAUACUAAAAAAUGAGACUUCUUUGCUCAAAAGUUUCUUCAACCUUUAAGACUUGUCCCAUUUUGCUCCAAAGAAGUCUUUAUAUAGAAAGGAUUUGAGGGUCUUCUUUGAAUUCCCAACUGAUGUGGGAUAAGCAAAUCAAAAGGGCAAAUUUGGCAUUAUUCAUGAGAGAUUUUAAAUUUGAAAUAAGAGGACAAAAGGGAUGAGCUGGAUUUUGUACGAAUUUAGUACUAAUUAGUACAAAAAUUUAAAUUUAAAUCGUUUGUACAAAUUUGACAUUUGAAGUUCAAACGAGGGUUGGGUGUCCAUAUCGGGUUGUUGAUGGGUCGGUUUGUCGAAUUCUGGGUUGUUGUCGGGUUGAAACGGUUGUUGGUGGGUUUGAACGUUGAUGUUGAUAUGGUCGUUGCUACUGAAUAUUGUUGAUGCUGAAAUGGCUAUUGUAGAUGUUUGCUAUAUUGUGCGUAUUAUUUUACUGAAUGAGAUACAAAGGUUAUUGAUGGUGGGCCGAAGUGGGUCGGAGUGUUUGGGACGGAGCGGUGGAAAUUGUAAGGAAAGG
rnacentral:lncRNA from 1 species